rnacentral:rRNA from 1 species
GAUGAACGCUGGCGGCGUGCCUAAUACAUGCAAGUCGAGCGAACAGACGAGGAGCUUGCUCCUCUGACGUUAGCGGCGGACGGGUGAGUAACACGUGGAUAACCUACCUAUAAGACUGGGAUAACUUCGGGAAACCGGAGCUAAUACCGGAUAAUAUAUUGAACCGCAUGGUUCAAUAGUGAAAGACGGUUUUGCUGUCACUUAUAGAUGGAUCCGCGCCGCAUUAGCUAGUUGGUAAGGUAAAGGCUUACCAAGGCGACGAUGCGUAGCCGACCUGAGAGGGUGAUCGGCCACACUGGAACUGAGACACGGUCCAGACUCCUACGGGAGGCAGCAGUAGGGUAUCUUCCGCAAUGGUCGAAAGCCUGACGGAGCAACGCCGCGUGAGUGAUGAAGGUCUUCGGAUCGUAAAACUCUGUUAUUAGGGAAGAACAAAUGUGUAAGUAAAUAUGCACGUCUUGACGGUACCUAAUCAGAAAGCCACGGCUAACUACGUG